rnacentral:rRNA from 1 species
GAGCGGUAAGGCCCUUCGGGGUACACGAGCGGCGAACGGGUGAGUAACACGUGGGUAACCUGCCCUGUACUCUGGGAUAAGCCUUGGAAACGAGGUCUAAUACCGGAUACGACCUUUGAUCGCAUGGUCGGUGGUGGAAAGUUCCGGCGGUAUGGGAUGGACCCGCGGCCUAUCAGCUUGUUGGUGGGGUAAUGGCCUACCAAGGCGACGACGGGUAGCCGGCCUGAGAGGGUGACCGGCCACACUGGGACUGAGACACGGCCCAGACUCCUACGGGAGGCAGCAGUGGGGAAUAUUGCACAAUGGGCGAAAGCCUGAUGCAGCGACGCCGCGUGAGGGAUGACGGCCUUCGGGUUGUAAACCUCUUUCAGCAGGGACGAAGCGCAAGUGACGGUACCUGCAGAAGAAGCACCGGCUAACUACGUGCCAGCAGCCGCGGUAAUACGUAGGGUGCGAGCGUUGUCCGGAAUUAUUGGGCGUAAAGAGCUCGUAGGCGGUUUGUCGCGUCGGCCGUGAAAACUUGGGGCUUAACUCCAAGCUUGCGGUCGAUACGGGCAGACUUGAGUUCGGCAGGGGAGACUGGAAUUCCUGGUGUAGCGGUGAAAUGCGCAGAUAUCAGGAGGAACACCGGUGGCGAAGGCGGGUCUCUGGGCCGACACUGACGCUGAGGAGCGAAAGCGUGGGGAGCGAACAGGAUUAGAUACCCUGGUAGUCCACGCCGUAAACGGUGGGUGCUAGGUGUGGGGGGCUUCCACGCCCUCUGUGCCGCAGCUAACGCAUUAAGCACCCCGCCUGGGGAGUACGGCCGCAAGGCUAAAACUCAAGGAAUUGACGGGGGCCCGCACAAGCGGCGGAGCAUGU